rnacentral:rRNA from 1 species
AUUGAACGCUGGCGGCAGGCCUAACACAUGCAAGUCGAGCGGAUGAAGGGAGCUUGCUCCUGGAUUCAGCGGCGGACGGGUGAGUAAUGCCUAGGAAUCUGCCUGGUAGUGGGGGAUAACGUCCGGAAACGGGCGCUAAUACCGCAUACGUCCUGAGGGAGAAAGUGGGGGAUCUUCGGACCUCACGCUAUCAGAUGAGCCUAGGUCGUAUUAGCUAGUUGGUGGGGUAAAGGCCUACCAAGGCGACGAUCCGUAACUGGUCUGAGAGGAUGAUCAGUCACACUGGAACUGAGACACGGUCCAGACUCCUACGGGAGGCAGCAGUGGGGAAUAUUCGACAAUGGGCGAAAGCCUGAUCCAGCCAUGCCGCGUGUGUGAAGAAGGUCUUCGGAUUGUAAAGCACUUUAAGUUGGGAGGAAGGGCAGUAAGUUAAUACCUUGCUGUUUUGACGUUACCAACAGAAUAAGCACCGGCUAACUUCGUG